GUGCCAGCCGCCGCGGUAAUACCGGCAGCCCGAGUGAUGGCCGAUCUUAUUGGGCCUAAAGCGUCCGUAGCCAGCCGAACAAGUCCGUUGGGAAAUCCACCUGCUCAACAGGUGGGCGCCCGGUGGAAACUGUGCGGCUUGGGACCGGAAGGCGCGACGGGUACGUCCGGGGUAGGAGUGAAAUCCCGUAAUCCUGGACGGACCGCCGAUGGCGAAAGCACGUCGCGAGAACGGAUCCGACAGUGAGGGACGAACGCUAGGGUCUCGAACCGGAUUAGAUACCCUGUAGUCC
rnacentral:rRNA from 1 species